AUUGAACGCUGGCGGCAGGCCUAACACAUGCAAGUCGAACGAGUGGCGGACGGGUGAGUAAUGUCUGGGAAACUGCCCGAUGGAGGGGGAUAACUACUGGAAACGGUAGCUAAUACCGCAUACCAUCGGAUGUGCCCAGAUGGGAUUAGCUAGUAGGUGGGGUAACGGCUCACCGAGGCGACGAUCCCUAGCUGGUCUGAGAGGAUGACCAGCAACACUGGAACUGAGACACGGUCCAGACCCCGACGGGAGGCAGCAGUGGGGAAUAGUGCACAAGGGGAGCAAGCCUGAUGCAGCCAUGCCGAGUGGAUGAAGAAGGCCUUCGGGUUGGAAAGUACUUGAAGCGAGGAGGCGUUACUCGCAGAAGAAGCACCGGCUAACUCCGUGCCAGCAGCCGCGGUAAUAC
rnacentral:rRNA from 1 species